GGGGAAUUUUCCGCAAUGGGCGAAAGCCUGACGGAGCAACGCCGCGUGAGGGAUGAAGGCCUCUGGGCUGUAAACCUCUUUUAUCAAGGAAGAAGAUCUGACGGUACUUGAUGAAUAAGCCACGGCUAAUUCCGUGCCAGCAGCCGCGGUAAUACGGGAGUGGCAAGCGUUAUCCGGAAUUAUUGGGCGUAAAGCGUCCGCAGGCGGUCUUGUAAGUCUGUCGUUAAAGCGUGGAGCUUAACUCCAUUUGAGCGAUGGAAACUGUAAGACUAGAGUGUGGUAGGGGCAGAGGGAAUUCCCGGUGUAGCGGUGAAAUGCGUAGAUAUCGGGAAGAACACCAGUGGCGAAGGCGCUCUGCUGGGCCAUAACUGACGCUCAUGGACGAAAGCCAGGGGAGCGAAAGGGAUUAGAUACCCCUGUAGUC
rnacentral:rRNA from 1 species